GCCCUUCUAAAAGCGCUCGAUCAGCCUGUGCUCCGUGGCUGGGGGAGUUGUCGUUGAAGGGAAGAUAAAGAUCAUCGCUAGUGGGUGAGACGGCAGUGCCUUGUACUGUUAAAUCUCAAUUAGUGGUGAAACAAUU
ensembl:snoRNA small nucleolar RNA SNORA21